UUGUUCUUCCUCCAUCCUCUGACCACGCCCACCUCUUUGUUUUUGCGGCUCUGCCACGGUAAACGCCAGUGAAAUGAAGGCGUGGCUUGUGUUUAUAUCUAGGGGGCCGGUAGACAGAUGUAAA